GAUGAACGCUGGCGGCGUGCUUAACACAUGCAAGUCGAACGAGAAGUGGAGACGGAAACCUUCUGGCGGAAGGCUUUACUUCGAGGGGCGGACGGGUGAGUAACGCGUGGGUAACCUGCCUCAUACAGGGGGAUAACAGUUGGAAACGACUGUUAAUACCGCAUAAGACCACGGCACCGCAUGGUGCGGGGGUAAAAACUCCGGUGGUAUGAGAUGGACCCGCGUUCGAUUAGCAAGUUGGCGGGGUAACGGCCCACCAAAGCGACGAUCGAUAGCCGAGCUGAGAGGAUGACCCGCGACAUUGGGACUGAGACACGGUCCAAACUCCUACGGGAGGGAGGAGUGGGGAAUAUAGCAAAAUGGGGGAAACCCUGAUGGAGCGACGCCGCGUGAGUGAAGAAGUAUUUCGGUAAGUAAAGCUCGAUCAGAAGGGGAGAAAAUGACAGUACCUGAGUAAGAAGCCCCGGCUAACUACGUG
rnacentral:rRNA from 1 species